rnacentral:lncRNA from 10 species
GAACUCCUGACCUCAGUGAUCUGCCCGCCUCCACCUCACAAAGCUUUGGGAUUACAGGCAUGAGCCACGGUGCCUGGCCUGCAGCCUCCUUUAUUUUACAAAAGGCAUUACCACUUAAACACUGAAGAUAGCACGAAUCUCUGAUGUUUGCAAGUUCAGAAUAAAAUGGAAAUGAAAAUUCAUUAUGUGGCAGUCUCAGUACUGAGCACAAAGGCUUUUAACCACAAGCAAAUUACUGUGCUAGCCAGACCGUGUGAGAGAACUCCAGGCCAGCUUGCUAAAACUGAGCAGGAGAAUUUGGAGAGAGUCCAGAGGAGAGCCACAGAAACAACUGAAGCAUGACAAGAAUAAUUGCAGUUCUGUUAUAGAGAGGUCAUCUAUAUCAGGCUUUUAUGGAGUACCAUGUGGAAUGUUACCACGCAGAGCAUGGGGAACAGCUGUUGUGACUCAACAAGAGACAGGACAGAAGAAAUGAGAACAGGUGGAAGAUCAAUAAUUUAGGUUUGAUAUGGGGAAAGAUGGAACAGUCAAAGGGAUUCACACUGAUUUUUGGCUGAGCAGAAGGCAGAGUCUCCUCCAACGGGCAAUGUAAGUGCCCCCACUCAUCUACACCCCGAGAAGAGCCAUCAAACUGUAUUAAACUUGGAAAAAGCUAUUUAACUUCAAGUGUGCUGCGAGAAAACUUCAUAAUAGUUCCUAAGAUGUGCUAAAAAGUAAAGUCCAAAAAGAUCAUAAAGUCUGUAGAGAAGUUCUAAGAGUGCAGUCAGCUAUAAAAACCUAGCAAUUUAAUUUCUUAGAAAAAUGUAGCUGGAGUUCAAACUGUAGUAACAAAGGCAAGUAAAUUAAGUUGUGGGCAGGUGUAAUUAAGUUAAUAGGAAUGGCAGGGAUGAAUAUAAAUCAGAACAGGACUAACAGUUUGAAACAUUAGAUAUUCAAAUGCUCAGAGCUGAUGAGCCGAGCCACUACGCUAACAACUCUGCAAACCAAAGGUUUCACAAAUUGCACAAGAACCUGGCCUCGAUCCCAUUGUGUUGCUGGCAUAAGAUUAGAAGGGCCUGUUGGUUCAAUUGUUGCUUUGGACAGAGGAGGACAAACUUGCCACAGUGAAGAAAUCAUUUUUAAAAACCACCACUGUCCUUUAGUGCACUAAUUUCUCUAAUAACUAGGUGUAUAUUAGAAAUAAUGAUAUAUAAGUGCAGUAUACUCCAGUUUCAACAGAAUGGUGUCACUUCUGUAAAAUGUUGAUUUUCAGAUUGUCAUACUUUCUAAAUACAAAAAUUUGUCACAGCUUCCACAUUUACAAGAUAUUAAACAUUCCAUAAAAUAUUUGUAGAAAUAUGAAAAACCAAUUUUUGUAGUUGCCUUUUGAAAUGUAUACAAAAUAUCCCACAUGGGCAACAUGGUAAAACCUCGUCUCUACAAAAAAAAAAAAAAAAAUACAAAAAGUUAGCCAGGCCUGGUGGUGCACGCCUGUGGUCCCAGCUACUCGGGAAGCUGAAGUGAGAUCACCUGUGCCCAGGAGGUCGAAGCUGCAGUGAGCUGUGAUUGCACCACUGCACUCCAGCCUGGGUGACAGAGUGAGACUUUGUCUCAAAUAAAC